UUUCUUUCCUAAUCACUGCAGAAAAAUAUUAAUUUAUCUCAUUUAAGUAUGCAACCAGAUCUUCCACCAAUUUUUCAUUGGCUCAACAGUCAGAGCAUGAUGCUAACAGUGCCAAGGUCAUGGGUUCAAUCGGUGUUUCAGCAUCAAAUCUUCAGUGCCAGGUGGCUGAAGUUACUCCAUAUAAAGAUUCAGCACAGUUGUGAAGGCUGCAGCACUUGGCAGAAGGUGGUAGAACCAGAGCGAUGGCUGGCCUGGAGACUCAACCCCUGAAUGAGUUAAGGAGUGUGACAGCAGAGCCAAGUCAGGGACUCCAGAGUGAGCCAGCUGCCCAGAUCCUGCUGUUAUGGGAACUUUUCUUCUCUGUGCCAAGGAGGCACUGUCCAGUUGCUGCCCAUCCUGCAGCUGGAGCUGCUGGCAGCCCAGGAUGCCCAGAGGCUCCUCAGCUGGUGCUGACUAGAGAGGUUGGCAUCUGCUGCUCAGUUCUCAGCAAGACUGCAGCUCUUGCCUGCAACAGCCAGACUGUCGUGAGUCUUUCUAUGGCUGCUGUUUCCUUGUCCUGUGAUCCAGACUUCCUCAAAGGAACGAGAAGUUAGGCUGUCAUUCUGUGGAAAGUGUCUUGUUGCCGGACACUGGGAAGUAGAUCUAGAAAUACUCUUUGCAGAGGUUUUAUACUAGUAAUUUGUAUUUUGACUAAUAUUUGAGAAGGCACUUGAGCCAGGUGUUUUUAUUCCAUGAUGUAUAACUGAACAUUGGUUUCAUAUUUCACAAGUACACAAAAUAAAGAGCAGCAAUAAUAAGCUCAGGAUAUCUUCCUGCCAAAGUGUGUCCCUGGUCUGCGGGAUUUAAGUGCAAAAGGGGCCAACAGGGGUAAUAUUUUUAUUCUGUGCUCUGGAAUAAAGGAAUCUCAUGGUAUGACAUAUGGUGGAUGUGAAGAAUGGUGAGAGGCAGCUGAGCCUGGCUUAUGCCACAGGCAAACCCUUUGGUGUGGGGCCCUUCUGGCUGUGCCUGGCGUCCCCCUGGUGAUGUUUGCUCUUACUGCCUUAGGUCACUGUUCCAGGCUGUUGUGUUUUAUUGGUUAUGGUUCAUUUUACCAUGUUACUGGAGAAGUGGUAGAGGUUUACAUAAUUCUUGUAAAUAUUACUGGAGUAAUACGGGAUUGGAGAAAUUCAGUUUUCUGAAACCUGCUGGUGUUAUGCUCUAUGUAAUUGAAAACACACGUGAUCUGUCAGUUCUAGCAUUUUCUUAAUGUGUUUAUUUUCAUAUUGGGAUAGGAGUUUAACCUUUCUAGCUUGUUAGAAAGACAAGACUGGUUUCUUUCAACAAAGUCCAUACAAAUAUAGGCAGGAAAUAUAGGAAAAGUACAAAACACUUUACAUUCAUUUGCACCAAAUAAUAAUUGAAACAUUUCAGUCUUUAGAAACUCCAUUACAAUGCUGCUUGCUUGCAGAAAUAAAAUAUAUCUCUUCUAAACAUACUCUUGGGUUCUCACAAUUUUUCAAUAAGUUUCUAUGGCGUAUGGUUGUGUGUUGGUGAUAAAUACUACAAAAGUAAUGGAAAAAAGAUGUGCUUAUACUAGCAACCAAAUAUGAGACUUCAAAUUCAUAGUUUGAGUAUAAUAUAAGUGUAAUUGUUCCUGGUAUAAAAAAAUACAGGUUUUAAUUUAGCUGAGCAAUCUGAUUUUACUGGACUGGAGCUGAAAAGGUAUUCUCCUUUCAUUGCUGGAUUUAAGCUAAUAUUUUGUAGGUGUUGAAGCUGAUGAUGUGUUUCUAGAGAAGAGGGCUUUGGUCUGUGAGACUUCUGCCUUUGAUCCUGGGAUGCACAGAGCCAAGCUGUUCUGAGUUUGUGUGCUGUGGCAGCAGACAACUUUGCCAGGCAUCAUGCUAGGGAAAGGCUGUGAGAAGAUCAGAAAAAAGAAUGAGAAACAAUUCUUAACUUGCUGCACCUGGUAUUGUGAACAUGUGGAAUGCGUUAUGGAGAUUUGUUUACCAAAGGGUGGUUUCUUAAUUAGCCAAUGGUGAUGGUGUUUUAAUUAAAGGACCGAUUAGAUCAACCUGUAUCUUAACUGUCUAUGAGAGCAAUGGGUUUCUUAAUGAAGAUAGUGAUUGAUAAGCCUUCUGUGAAUCAUGGAGUCACUGCUGAUUAUUACCCAGCCAGGGCCCCUGGCAGUGACAGUGAGCUGAGACACCCAGCUUUGAGUUGUGCUCGCCAAGUCAGAGCCCAUCAUGUCUGAGGCCAUUCUUGCUCUCCGAGGAUGAACUGUGUAUGGCCCUCUUGCCCCACAGCAGGACAUUUCACCUUUUUCUGCAGAGCAAAGAGAGGUGAAAAAUGCUGUGUGGGCUUUUUGUUGUACAUUUUUAUUUUGACUGUGGCAAACUGAACACAGGAGCACUGCAGUAAACACCUGUUAAUGCAGCUGGAGAUCAGCUACACCAGGGGAUGCUGCCUUGGGGUACUUCUUCUGGUGAAGAAUUUAUGCUUUAAUAAACUUCUGGGCUAUUGAACUCUACAGCCACACAAAUUUAUGUAGAAGGGCAAAGGAAAGCACAAACAUGUAGCACAAAUUUUUAAAUUUGCAGCAGAUUAGAUUAAUGCGUCCUAAUAUUUAGGGGGACUUUCUGAAGAAUAAUAGAUACAAUUUUUUUUUAUUAUUUGUAAGUACAGGUAGAUAAUAAAAAAAUGCAGUCAUUGUCUAAAGUUCAUAGCUGGGAUAUUUCCCUUCCAUUUUCAAGACACCUGAGGUUUCCUUUUUGAGCUUAUGUUUCAAAACUGAUAAAACUCAGAGGGCUUUUUUCUUGCUGCAGGAUUAAUUUCAUUUAUGAAAAAAGCCGAGAGAUCAAAUAUUGACCUGACCCAGGGAAAAUAUUGACAGUAUAACUAGAAAUUUUACUGGUUAAGGUGCAGAUUGAGAACCGAAAUCUCAUACCCAGGGUGCACUGAAAGUUUAGAGGCAGUUUGAAGCUAAUGUGAAGAGACAGGUUGUCUGGGUUAAUAACAAAUGGGGAAAGACUCUGCAAAACCAGAAGGGAAAAGGAUGCAUAAUGCCUUUCUAAAUUGUAUUAGGCUUUGGGAUAUAGUCCUCGUUUUAUAAUACAUACCUAAGUGAUUUAUGGUUUUGUAAUAAAAGAGUGUUUAGAGGAUUAAUAAUACUCCUACCCUUCCAAACUUUAAGCCAUUCAUGUUGCUUUCAGAAGCCGAGAUGUGACCUGUUGUAUAAUUUGUUCCAUUUCACUGAUUUCCUUAAAUAUGCUUGACAUUGUGACCAGCAAAGUCUUAGACAAUCCUGUAACUUUAUCAGGCUUGUGUGUUAAAAUGCUUGAUGAUUUCUAGGUUGGUGUGUUGUGUGUUUGGUUUUUUAAUUUUUUUUUUUAAUAUGUAACUCUUCCAUUUUUCCUGUAGUACUGAUGACUUUUUUGAAAAGACCAAGUUGGAGGGGAUGGUGAUUGCUGCCUGGAUGCUACUCCUUGCUUGGCCAGUAGGUCUAAGGCAAUCAUACUUCUUGGAUGUCUUUCUCACUUGCUGUCUACCCACUCAGUCUUUGCUCCCCACUGUAAAAGUUUAUGGCACUCAGCAAACCAGGUCCUGCAUUUGGACAUUAUCUCUUCAGAAGGGCUGAGACACCUCCUGUCUCAUUUGCUACUAAACUGAAAGCAACAUAAAAUGGCUAACGGUACUGUAUGGGUAUAGCAUUACAUGAUUUUUUUUGGCUGCCAAUUACUUGUAGUGCAGUAAUUAUUAAGUAAAACUGAUCUGCCUGAGGUCACAAAGCCAGGAACAGAGCACAUAUCUCCUGACUCCUGAUGCAGCGAUGCAGCUGUUAAUCCACACAAUUCCUACUUGAGUUCAUUAAAAACCUUCUCCCACAGCUCUGCCUCCCUCAGCAGCCAAAAUUUCUCCUUUUAAUAGAAGAAAGGAGCUUCCUUUGGGACUCUAAUUCCCCCCACAGUGAAAAACUUUUCUAGCUGAGAGUAUGCACUGUCUUUUGAAGUACUGUUAGCCCUUUCUGACCUGAGAAACAAGGAGGGGACUAAACUCUUCUUUCUAAGCUUGGAAAGCACAUCUAAUACAGUCAGGGCAUGUGUGCUAGACAGUUUUCAUGUCUGAAUGCUGUAGAUAAUGUGCUUUAAAAGUUCUUAGAGAUGAAAACUCAUUUUAUUAUAACACAGAUGAUCACACCCUCUUCUAAGCCAACUAAACUCUUCCACAGAACUACAGAAUGGGAAACUGAGUCAGGUGUGGGGAGUGUGUGUAGUUUUGAUGAUAUUUUUAUUUGUGUUUAUCUUGUUUUUCUGAGGUGGUGAUUUUGUUGGGGGUCUUUUUGUUGUUUAUUUUUAAUUUUUGAGGAGUAGAUUUUGAUGAUAGCAGGGACCAUUAUGGUCCCUGAUGCAGAACUUCAUCCUGUUUGCUUCACUGAGCAUAUCAUAUGGGGCUGAAUGUAUAUUUUUAGGUAGCUAGUCAUUCUUGAUCUACGUAAAUUAGUGCCAUAUGAGGACUAACCUUUUCACAUGCCAUGUUGUUCCAACUCUUAAAUACUAAUUUUAGUCCUAAUGGCUAAGACAGGGAGGUGUAAAUACUCUCAGAAAAGAGCAAACAUAUCUCGCUACAAUAAGAGUGCUCAGAACAUGAGCUAGAUGCCAUUUGGUAACAAACUAGAUUACCCUUAUAUCUCUUUUUAGAUUAUACACUAGUUUAGAACUAUUUAAUUUAGAGUUUCAUUAUAUUAAUCUACUUCCAUGCUUCCAAUUCCUCAAUAAAUAAUUCUGGAGAGAGUUGAAGUUGUUUCAUCAUACAUUGUUAUUCACAAAAUAGUUCUACCUAUGUUUUUAAAACAGUAUUUUUAAAGCUUGAAAAAAAAUCUUUUUCCAGGGUAACAUAUUAGUUAUGUAAAUAUAGGAAAGAUUGUCUUUGUGUACUCAAUUACAUAUAACAAAACUUUCAAUGGAAAUCAGUGUUAGACAUAUUCAGCUUGACUCUUGGGACUUUGAUUUUAUAUUCUGUAGCCUUCUCCAAAGCUUUAAUUUCAAUACUGAAAACAAGUAACAUAAAAUAUUAUGUGGAUGCUUUUCCUUUCUCCUUGGAAUCAAAAAUGGUUUUAUUUUUUUUCCAAGAGUUGUCAGUAUAAUGCUUUGAAAAGCUGUUACAGAAGCUUAGUUUUAUGAGCUAAAGAAAAUUUAAGUAUGUCUCUGUGCUGUGAGAUUUAAGUCAGUGUUGUGGCAUGUUGUGAGUCCGCAAGGCAUUGCAAGUGUAAAUGUCCAAGAAGCUGGGAGAAAGGAGAGGGGAAAGAAGAGUAAAUCCCCUCAUUUCUGCAGAUGUUUGAGCUGUGGUAUACAACAGUACUUUAACAGACUGCUAUUCCCCUCUGUUCCAGGAGCAGUGCCAGUGUUUGCUGGAACAGGAAACUUGGCAGUCUCAGCUGUCUCUUUGUUAGUGUGCUCUGUCUCUUAACCUUUGUCUCACCUACCUCAGUGGGGAGUCCCAGAAUGGGGAAGUUAGUCAGAAAUUCAGGAGACUGUGUGCCCUAGAAAUUGGGUUGAGCUGGGGCAAUGUGCAUGUGUGUUUUGCUGCUGCCUCUCUUUAAGGCAUGCUGCAUUAUAUGAUGUAAAAUGUCAAUGGUUAGUGAUGUAUAAGACUAAAGGUAACAAAAACUUAAUCCCUGACUUUUUCAAGUGCCUUUAACUUUGAGACAGGGAAAUGCAUAGAAGAUGGCAUACAAUUACCAGUGGCACUCAAGCCUCUUAUGGGUAUGCAUGUCUCCCUGUGCUCUUUCUGGUGACAUGUGUGAGGUUUUAAAUUAUUUAAAUUUUUUUUUUUUAAAUUUUAUCUUCAAAUCUCAAACCCAGUUUUAAGGAGGUGAAAGAGUUCACAGUACAUGAUGGGCUGUGGUCAGAACCUGUGGAAGUCCAGUCCAAAUCAGGAUCAAGCAAUAUUCUUAUUUCCGUGUGAUAUUUAAACUGCAUAGAUGAAGGACACAAACCUGUAUCUAACUCCAACAACAGAAUUUAAAUUAAGCACAUGCUGAACAGGAAUCAUACCAGAAUGGUGCCAGAGUAAUUUCUGUGGAGGACAUGUAUGUAUAAAUGCAUAUACACUACAAAACCUUCAGUUCAUUGAUGAUUGCAAUAUAGCAUGAAGAUUGUAUGUCAUCUUCCUGGAGCACUGCUACUCAAAAGAAUCACUCAGAAAAAGUAUAUACAUGUAGAGAGUUUAUAAUAUUGUUGUAUCAACUAUAACUUCUGAUGAUGGACAGAUUUCCUUCCUUGUGCAUCUUAUUGGUCCUUUAACCAACUUAAGACAGCAAUGAUUAAAUUUAAUGCUGUUUUUACCUAGUAAAUGGGAAAUGCUGCCCUGGACUUUGAAACAGACAUUUUUUUCUCUAUGUCUAUACAUUCUGUGUGGGAGUAUAUGUGUGUAUAUAUAAUCAGAGCUUAUAUAUAUAUGUUGUCAUUUCUAUAUUAGUUCAAUACUGCUUCACUACUUUUUCUUUACAAUGUGUCUUAAAAAGCAGAAUGGUAUUUUGAUUUUACAAAAGUCAUCUUCAUGUAGUCUGCCAAGUGUUGGUGCCAUGUUUGUUUUGCUGGAGUGUGAUUUUUAUAUACCUAUAUAUAUACCUAUAGGUAUAUAUAUAGAGCUAUAUAAAAUCAAACAACACCUACAUAAUUGCUUAGAGAGAGAGAAUCAGGUUUAUAUAGCAAUUUAUCACAGAUUUUGUCAGUGAAAAGGAGAGAGAUGAUCCUACCUCCAGCCAUGGCUCUAAUCUUUUCAUGAAGGGAACUGUCAGAUGGCCUUUGAUUCUUCCUAUCUAAUUGUGUCAAAGACUUUUUUUGAAUCCUGUUUCUGGCAAAGAAAGAAUGAAAACUGUUAGUUUUUCUAUAAAUAUGUAUGCAUGAAAAAAGAAACAGCCUGACUUAUGAGGAUUAUUUUCUGUUUUUCUUCCUAUUCAUUCUUGAAAUGUUCAGAGAUCCCUAUCAGGGUUCUGAGAUUUUAAAUAUUGAACAUCAGCAAGUACAGAACAGUAAGCCUCAAAAUGGCUCAAAAAAAAAAAAAAAAUGGACAAUGUAACUAUUCUCAUUUUACAGAUCAGAAAGGUCUGUCUUAAGGAUUAUGGAUAUUACCUAAGGCUGUAGGGACUACUGGCUGAGACUGCAAUCAAAUGCUGCAUGUCUUGUUCUAAUAUCUUAUCUAUGGAAGAUGCUCACUUUUAACUCACAGUUCACCUAUGGGUACAGUACAUUGCAGUUCAAAUAAGAUGAUUCUUGUGUGUGGAUAUGGCUUUUAGCACUCUGGUAGUAGGUUGGAAAGGCACAUCAGAAAAUGCACGUGUAGGGGGGAGGCAGAGAGUCACAUCCGUCUGUUGCAAUGAUACAGCAUCUACAACGACGUGCAUUAUUUGGAAAAAGAGCCCAUUAAGAACGGCAAGCUUGAAAGCCAAAACAAAUGACAGGAUAUGUGAAGGAUUAGUUGGAUGGAGCAUCUGUUAUUAAUACUGAACAGUACUUUUUGAAAACAAAUGUGAAGCUUUAGCACAGUGGUGAGAAUCAAUUUUAAUGCCCUUCUAUGAAACUAAGUAUGAAUUAGAGUCCUGCUCUGUUUUAUUUAGAAGUAAUAUUUUCAGUUCUUGCUUUAUGAGAAGCCUGAAUGCAAAUGUGAUCCUAAGUGGUGAAGCGAUGCCUGGAAUGCUGGCUCUUUCUGAUCCCCUAGGGGACAGCGUGUCUGCUACAGCACAGCAGAUCCCCUCUUUUGGGGGUAGUGAAUGACAUGCUUGAUCAACGAAAGGCAGGCUGGCUAAUACUCCUCUCCUGAGUGUUAAGCAAUGGAAAAUUAGCAAGAAACAUUGUACUUUUGAAGAGAUUUAUUGAUCUGAUUUCCCUGCAGAACUAAUUUCUCCAUGGAAGCAAUAUACCUGUUCUCAGGACCCAAAGCAUUUACACUCAAAGUAUAAUGGAGUCUGGCAAUUUUGAUAAACACAGGUUGUUCUCAGAAGUCAUUCUCAGGUGGCUCCAAAGCAUGAGCACACCAUAUUGUGAUUACUGCAUGUCUGUAGCAGACUGAGGUUUGAAGGCUUUCUGGAGUACUUUUCUUCAAAAUCUGCAAUAAUGAUCCAUUCCUUAGAAUUUAUUUGUCAGUUAACAGUGACAAUUGCGAAUGUGACUGUUUAUAACUGUUGUGAACAUUAAAGUUUGAGUACUUU
rnacentral:lncRNA from 1 species